CCACUUUCCAACUGUACCCUGACACUUGCCGAACAACUGAGAAAAGCACUGAUACUUCAGUCAGGUUUUGUGAGUAGUUGACUUGGUCGCCUUUUUGAGAGCAGCCUCCUGAGCUCCAGUUCUCCUCUGUUACCCGUGGGUGACGUCAGGGAGCCCUUAGUACGCACAAGUGCCUUCCAAGUUGCCGAAAUAAGGGUGUCCCUGCAUCACCUAAUUCUGAAUAGAAGCUCUCAGUUCGUGCUCUGUGGUUGGCGAAGAAUGGAAUCCCCACAUCCUCGUGAAUCUGCCUGUUACUAACGUGCUAAGGUCUCGUCUGAAGUCGGCCUCUCCCUCACCCGGACUCUGAUGGACGUCUAUGUAGAGAUCGGGUCAUACAGAGACCGAGUCCGGCAUAACGGGCCCGUCAGAUAUACGAGGGCCCUCCAGCGUUUACGAAGUGUAUGGAUUCCUCUAGAAAAAAAUUCUUGUGGUUGUCUGCGCAAUCACUCAUCCUCCGCCUGCUGUACCUCUUCAUCAGAACGGAACUUCUUUCCUCCCAUCGCCUCUUUGAGUGGCCCAAACAUGUGGUAAUCACUUGGGGCUAGGUCUAGUGAGUAUGGCGGAUGUGGAAGACACUCAAAGUGCAAGUCUUGGAUUGUUGUAACUGUUGCACCGGCAGUGUGGGGCCGAGCAUUGUCAUGUUGCAAAAGGACACCUCAAGUCAAAAGUCCAUGUCGCUUUGAUCUGACUGCAGGUCGAAGAUGAUUCUUCAAGAUUCUUCACUGAUCAAAAAACGAAUUACAGAAAGUUGUUCUUCUUUCGUACAUGUAACUAGUGGAGCAGCUAUCUUCAAACUGGCACUGUGAUGGCGUUCUGUUUGUCUGCACUAUACUGUCACCUAUAGGAUACUCUUUAUAGCAUUGGUAACAUGUCUGCCAACUUAUAGGACAAUGGCGCGAUAUUUCGAAUUUUUAUCUCAGUUUUACGGUUUUCAUUUGACUCACCCUCGUACUACUGCGGAAACCGGGUGCGGCAGAGACCAAGUCCGGUAGAGGCCGGAUCGUGCAG